rnacentral:rRNA from 1 species
GACGAACGCUGGCGGCGUGCUUAACACAUGCAAGUCGAACGGAAAGGUCCUGAUUUUGCGCGGCGCUCGAGUGGCGCACGGGUGAGUAACACGCGUGUAACCUGCCCCUGACUUUGGGGUAACUUCUGGAAACUGCGGCUCAUACCGGAUAUGAGCUAUUGCAGCAUGGUGUGGGAUGGUAAGUUUCGGCGGUUGGGGAUCGUCUCGCGGCUUAUCAGCUGGUUUGUGGGGUAGUGGCUUACCAAGGCUAUGACGGGUAGCCGGCCUGAGAGGGUGACCGGCCACAAUGGGACUGAGGGACGGCCCAGAAGCCUACGGGAGGCAGCAGUGGAGAAUAUUGCACAGUGGGCGGAAGCCUGAGGCAGCAACGCCGCGUGCGUGAUGACGGCCUUCGGGUUGUAAACCGCUUUCGCCUGAGACGAAGCGUGAGUGACGGUAAUGAGUAAAGAAGCACCGGCUAACUACGUG